AUCGCUUCUCGGCCUUUUGGCUAAGAUCAAGUGUAGUAUCGCUUCUCGGCCUUCUGGCUGAGAUCAGGUGCAGUAUCGCUUCUCUCUGCCUUCUGGCUAAGAUGAAGUGUAGUAUCGCUU
rnacentral:snRNA from 2 species